ACGGGCGUGGUAUAAAAGGUAUUACAUCAGCUGUUACGGCUGAGGAUGCGGGUUCAAUUCCUGCUGCCCGUUCCA
rnacentral:tRNA from 4 species